GAUCAUGGCUCAGGAUGAACGCUAGCGACAGGCUUAACACAUGCAAGUCGAGGGGCAGCGGGGAGUAGCAAUACUUCGCCGGCGACCGGCGCACGGGUGAGUAACACGUGUGCAACCAACCCCGUACCGGGAGAUAACCCGCGGAAACGUGGACUAACAUCCCAUGACACUCUAGAGCCGCAUGGCUCUAGAUUUAAAAUUCCGGUGGUACGGGACGGGCACGCGCGACAUUAGGUAGUUGGCGGGGGUAAAGGG
rnacentral:rRNA from 1 species